ACACCCAACAGCUAGCCCCCCUUCCCCACAUAACAAACCAACAUAAACUAGCCCUUAAAACCCGAACUACAAUUUAACCAAACCAUUUUUCCCCCUUAGUAUGGGCGACAGAAAAGGAACCCCGGCGCCAUAGAAAAGUACCGCAAGGGAAAGCUGAAAGAGAAAUGAAAUAACCCAGUAAAGUAAAGAAAAGCAGAGAUUAAGCCUCGUACCUUUUGCAUCAUGACCUAGCCAGUAAAACCUAAGCAAAACGAAUUUUAGUUUAGCCCCCCGAAACUAAGUGAGCUACUCCAGGACAGCCUAUUGUAGGGCGCACCCGUCUCUGUGGCAAAAGAGUGGGAAGAACUUUGAGUAGAGGUGACAGACCUACCGAACUUAGUUAUAGCUGGUUGCCUAAGAACUGAAUAGAAGUUCAGCCUUUUAGUUUCUUUAGCCCAACCUGAUUACAUCUCGCCCCGACCAAAAGAUAAGACUAAAAGAGUUAAUCAAGGGGGGUACAGCCCCCUUGAAAAAGACACAACUUUAAUAAGCAGGUAAAAGAUCAAAAGACACAAGGUACCAUAUCCGAGUGGGCCUAAAAGCAGCCACCUCUACAGAAAGCGUUAAAGCUUAAAUAUAUUACACCCCCCAAUCCCGACAACAACAUCUUAAACCUCUCAACCUAUUAGGCCUCUCUAUGCAAACAUAGAAGAGAAUAUGCUAACAUGAGUAAUAAGAGGGCCAGACCCUCUCCCAGCACCCGUGUAAAUCAGAACGAACCCGCACUGAAAAUUAACGCCCCCAACACCACAGAGGGUAUUGAAUAAUGACUCCACGCUAAACCAGAAACUCCUUCACCCAUCAACAAGCGUUAGCCCUACACAGGAGUGCACAAGGAAAGACUAAAAGAAAAAGAAGGAACUCGGCAAACACUAGCCUCGCCUGUUUACCAAAAACAUCGCCUCUUGAACCCUAAAAUUAUAAGAGGUCCCGCCUGCCCUGUGACCAAAAGUUUAACGGCCGCGGUAUCUUGACCGUGCGAAGGUAGCGCAAUCACUUGUCUUUUAAAUGGAGACCUGUAUGAAUGGCAUAACGAGGGCUAAGCUGUCUCCUUUUUCCAGUCAAUGAAAUUGAUCUGCCCGUGCAGAAGCGGGCAUGAAAACAUAAGACGAGAAGACCCUAUGGAGCUUUAGACACCAGAAGAGCCUGCGUUCAAUUAACCUUAAUCACAAGACCAAACAAAGCAGCCCCUGUUCAAUUGUCUUCGGUUGGGGCGACCGCGGGGGAACAAAAAUCCCCCACGUGGAAUAAGGGAACCCCCUUUAAAAACAGGGCCACAGCCCUAAUAAACAGAACAUCUGACCAUCAAUGAUCCGGCACCAAGCCGAUCAACGGACCCAGUUACCCUAGGGAUAACAGCGCAAUCCUCUUCUAGAGCCCAUAUCGACAAGAGGGUUUACGACCUCGAUGUUGGAUCAGGACAUCCUAAUGGUGCAGCCGCUAUUAAGGGUUCGUUUGUUCAACGAUUAAAGUCCUACGUGAUCUGAGUUCAGACCGGAGAAAUCCAGGUCAGUUUCUAUCUAUGAGAUGUUCUUUUCUAGUACGAAAGGACCGAAAAGAAGAGGCCCCUGCCCGAGCAAGCCUCACCCCGACCUUAAGAAAACAAAUAAAAAAGGUAAGGGGGCAUGACCCCUCAUGGCCUGAGAAAAAGGCAUG
rnacentral:rRNA from 1 species